GAUGAACGCUGGCGGCGUGCUUAACACAUGCAAGUCGAACGAAGCGCCCUAGUUGAUGUGCGUCGGGCGUGAGGAUUUUGUGAGUGAGUGACGGACGGAUGAGUAACUCGUGGGUAACCUGCCUUGUGCAGGGGGAUAACAGUUGGAGACGGCUGCUAAUACCGCAUAAGGGCGCAUCGUCACAUGAGGCGGUGGGGAAAGCUCCGGUGGUAUAAGAUGGAACCGCGUGGGAUUAGCUAGUCGGUGGGGUUACGGCCAAGCAUGGCGGCGAUGCAUAGCCGAGCUGAGAGGGUGACCGGCCGCAUUGGGACUGAGACACGGACCCAACUCCUACGGGAGGGAGGAGUGGGGAAUAUUGCACAAUGGGCGAAAGCCUGAUGCAGCGGCGCCGCGUGAGCGAAGAAGUAUUUCGGUAUGUAAAGCUGUAUCAGCAGGGAAGAUAAUGACGGUACCUGACUAAGAAGCACCGGCUAACUACGUG
rnacentral:rRNA from 1 species